GAUUAAUUGAUUAAUGAGAAUUUUGAAUUCAAAACUGAAGUAGAAAUAAUUUUACAAAUUCUUAAAAACCCAAUUUCCUAGAAAGGCAUGGUAGCUUGUUUCUUUAUCCUGUUUAUAUUAAUAUCAUCAUCAUAGCUCUUCUCCCAACAAUUUCUUUUUGGUUCUCCUAAGUUGUGUUAGAUUUGGAUCUGAUGUCAUUUUAAUAACUGGCCCUUUCUAUACAUAAUGCGAUACCUUGAUGUCAUCCAUCAUUUCUGAUCAGACGCCUAUUUGCUCUCUUAUGGUCAAGAUCUUUACCAAUCAAAGCAAGUGAGAGAUAAGCAAAUUGCUCGCAUACUUGGAAAGGCACCAACAAUUGCAGCAGCGGCAUACUGUUGAUGGCUCUCAUCCUUGGAUAUGGACUCUAUAACUUCAUCAAAGUACUGUCUUUCACCAUCAGAAGCUUCCAUGGUAGAUUGAAAUGGAAGGACCCUCAGAAU